rnacentral:rRNA from 1 species
AAUGAACGUUGGCGGCAUGGAUUAGGCAUGCAAGUCGAGCGAGAAGUGUAGCAAUACACGGAAAGCGGCGGAAGGGAGAGUAAUACGUGGGAAUCUGCCCUUAGACCUGGGAUAGCAGCGGGAAACUGCUGGUAAUACCAGAUAAUGUCUAUGGACCAAAGGUGUGAUUCCGUCUAGGGAUGAGCCCACGUCCUAUUAGCUAGUUGGUAGGGUAAUGGCCUACCAAGGCGAUGAUGGGUAGCGGGUGUGAGAGCAUGACCCGCCUCACUGGGGCGGAGACACUGCCCAGACACCUACGGGUGGCUGCAGUCGAGAAUCUUCGGCAAUGGGCGCAAGCCUGACCGAGCGAUGCCGCGUGCGGGAUGAAGGCCUUCGGGUUGUAAACCGCUGUCGAGGGGGAGCAACUUCCAUAGAGUUAUCUUUAUGGAUUGAGUGAUCCCUGGAGGAAGGACGGGCUAAGUUCGUGCCAGCCGCCGCGGUAAGAC